CACGUAGGGGCGAGCGUUGUUCGGAAUUAUUGGGCGUAAAGGGUGCGCAGGUGGCAUGGCAAGUCUGGUGUAAAAGUUCUCGGCUCAACCGAGUGAUGCGCUGGAAACUGUUGUGCUUGAGUACAGGAGGGGAUAUUGGAAUUCCAGGUGUAGGGGUGAAAUCUGUAGAUAUCUGGAAGAACACCGGUGGCGAAGGCGAAUAUCUGGCCAUGUACUGACACUGAGGCACGAAGGUGCGGGGAGCAAACAGGUUUAGGAUACCCCCGUA
rnacentral:rRNA from 1 species